ACCUGGUUGGCUCAGCCAGUAGAGCAUGUGACUCUUGAUCUCAGGAUUGUGGGUUUGAGCCCUAUAUUGGACA
rnacentral:tRNA from 1 species